UUGCAACCCGGCUUGAGCGGAAAUCCUUUUUUUGCGUUGGGAAAAGCCUUGGCAAAAAGAUUGGGAGCGGAAGACGGAAUAGUU
rnacentral:sRNA from 2 species